rnacentral:lncRNA from 1 species
UCCGGGGUCUUUGUUCGGAACUCGAUAAGACAAAAAAAGUUAAAUAAGACAAUUAGAAAAUAGGACGAUUGUCUUUCUUUUAUAUACACUAGAACACACCCAUGAUAUCGCGGGUCCGUGACUGAAUUAAAGUAUAUAAGCAUAUGCAUAUGCCUUAUUUUAGUAUUUGUAAUGUCAUCUGAUAAUGUCAUGCCGAUUAUAAGAUGCACAGUUUUCUCUGCUUUCAAAAUCUUUCUGUUUGAAUCCGUCGACCUGGGACCUAUCAAUUAUUGGUAAUAUUAAUUAUUUGGAAAACAAAGGGGCCUGGAAUGGAAUAUUUUUUAAUCAACAGCAUUGUUCUAUAUUAGUUAUAAAUAAAGUUGAACUAUUUGAUUCACUGUUUGACGUCAUGCCGGCUAACAAAUUGAAAAAUGUACCUACGCGCCUUUUUUUAAGUCUAGAUCUUUGGUAUUCGUAUUGUCAUCUUAGAAAGUCAUACUGAUUAAAAUACUACAAUAGGGAACAAUGUGACAAUGAUUGAAUUUAGUAGUGUCAACCCUGGGAUUAUGACCCGUGUAUAUAGUAAAAUCCUAAAUACACUGUUUGGUGGUGCGCCUUUCAGAUGCGGAACGUACAGAUAAGGUAAUAGGUAACGGGUAAAUAUACUAUUUUAAUUGGUAACGGUAUCGGAUUCGACCCGGAAUUUGUUAAUUAUUGGCAAUAUUAAUUAUGUGGAAAACAAAAGGGUCUGUAGUGGUGUAAUUUUUAAUCAACACCAUUGUCCUAUAUUUGCU